UUACCGUAGGUGAACCUGCGGAAGGAUCAUUACCGAGUGAGGGCCCUCUGGGUCCAACCUCCCACCCGUGUUUAUUUACCUUGUUGCUUCGGCGAGCCUGCCUUUUGGCUGCCGGGGGACGUCAGUCCCCGGGUCCGUGCUCGCCGGAGACACCUUAGAACUCUGUCUGAAGAUUGUAGUCUGAGAUUAAAUAUAAAUUAUUUAAAACUUUCAACAACGGAUCUCUUGGUUCCG
rnacentral:misc_RNA from 1 species